GAUGAACGCUAGCGGCAGGCUUAACACAUGCAAGUCGAGGGGCAGCAUGAGGGUUAGCAAUAACCUUUGAUGGCGACCGGCGCAAGGGUGCGUAACGCGUGAGCAACUUGCCCGUUUCUGGGGAAUAACCGGUGGAAACGCCGACUAAUACCCCAUGGCAUCAGAUUGAGGCAUCUUAAUUUGAUUAAAGAAUUUCGGAAACGGAUAGGCUCGCGUGACAUUAGCUAGAUGGCGGGUAACGGCCCACCAUGGCUACGAUGUCUAGGGGUUCUGAGAGGAAGGUCCCCCANACUGGAACUGAGACACGGUCCAGACUCCUACGGGAGGCAGCAGUGAGGAAUAUUGGUCAAUGGUCUGACGACUGAACCAGCCAUGCCGCGUGAAGGUCACGGCCCUAUGGGGUCUU
rnacentral:rRNA from 1 species